UUAAUCGCGAUAGGGUGCCGAACAAAAAUAACACGGGCGAAAACGAAAAAGAAAUUUUCGUCUUUGCCCGCGUUAUUUUUGUUCAGCACCCUAUCGCGAUUAACAGAGAGC